rnacentral:rRNA from 1 species
ACGGGUGAGUAACGCGUGAGGAACCUGCCUCAAAGAGGGGGACAACAGUUGGAAACGACUGCUAAUACCGCAUAAGCCCACGGCUCGGCAUCGAGCAGAGGGAAAAGGAGCAAUCCGCUUUGAGAUGGCCUCGCGUCCGAUUAGCUAGUUGGUGAGGUAAUGGCCCACCAAGGCGACGAUCGGUAGCCGGACUGAGAGGUUGAACGGCCACAUUGGGACUGAGACACGGCCCAGACUCCUACGGGAGGCAGCAGUGGGGAAUAUUGCACAAUGGGGGAAACCCUGAUGCAGCGACGCCGCGUGGAGGAAGAAGGUCUUCGGAUUGUAAACUCCUGUUGUUGAGGAAGAUAAUGACGGUACUCAACAAGGAAGUGACGGCUAACUACGUGCCAGCAGCCGCGGUAAAACGUAGGUCACAAGCGUUGUCCGGAAUUACUGGGUGUAAAGGGAGCGCAGGCGGGCGAUCAAGUUGGAAGUGAAAUCCAUGGGCUCAACCCAUGAACUGCUUUCAAAACUGAUUGUCUUGAGUAGUGCAGAGGUAGGCGGAAUUCCCGGUGUAGCGGUGGAAUGCGUAGAUAUCGGGAGGAACACCAGUGGCGAAGGCGGCCUACUGGGCACCAACUGACGCUGAGGCUCGAAAGUGUGGGUAGCAAACAGGAUUAGAUACCCCGGUAGUCCACACCGUAAACGAUGAUUACUAGGUGUUGGAGGAUUGACCCCUUCAGUGCCGCAGUUAACACAAUAAGUAAUCCACCUGGGGAGUACGACCGCAAGGUUGAAACUCAAAGGAAUUGACGGGGGCCCGCACAAGCAGUGGAGUAUGUGGUUUAAUUCGACGCAACGCGAAGAACCCUACCAAGUCUUGACAUCCUGCGACGAUGCUAGAAAUAGUAUUUUCCUUCGGGACUGAUUAUUUUGUGACUGAGUGGCGGACGGGUGAGUAACGCGUGGGUAACCUGCCUUGUACAGGGGGAUAACAGUUGGAAACGGCUGCUAAUACCGCAUAAGCGCACAGCAUCGCAUGAUGCAGUGUGAAAAACUCCGGUGGUAUAAGAUGGACCCGCGUUGGAUUAGCUAGUUGGUGAGGUAACGGCCCACCAAGGC